CAAAUAUGCGCAAAUUACAAAGCCAAAUUAAAAAAUGAAAUAAAACAAAUAACAUGUAAUUGAAUGAUCACGUGAAAAGGAAGGACUCAGUGCGCAAUUAUCCCCUCUCCGCAAUAACGCGCGGAUCCUAAGGGCAAAGAAUCAGAUCGGGUCGGGUAUAGUUAACACGACACCGUUUUGGAGCCCUUGAAUCAGGCUCAAAACGGCGUCAUUUUUAGUUAUUUAUAAACGCUCAAACCAGGCCAUUCAGCCGAACCAACCCUAGCCACCUUUUCUUCCCAACCAGCAACCCUACGUUCUUUCCUUCAAACACUGAUCUGCCACCACGAACGGCAACCAGCGUUCUCGGGCUUCGAAGAAUUGUUUUUUAGCCUCGAAAUUCCCUUUAAGCUUUGAUUUCGACGAAGCGAAAGAGAACUGACGGCCUAAUCACAAGGUGUGGCUGUAUGGAAAAGGAGACUUGGUGACGUGGAAGCCAUGCCUGGGAAACUGCUCGUGCAAGUCCGACCCUUUGGCGCUGCUGUAGCGUAUUCCAGAAUCUUCAAUGUUUGGGCUCUAUAGACCUGCUUUGAAAACGGACGGCUAGGGGCGAAGACCAUUGCUGCGGCGCUAAUCAGCAAACUAGGGUUUGGGCUAAGGUUAGCCUUAGGUUUAAUAAUUGGGCCAGGACUGGGUCUAAUGUAAUGGGCUAAGGGUUUAAGGACUGUUUUGGACUUAAUGGAUUUUUAUGGUUUUUUUA